rnacentral:rRNA from 1 species
AUUGAACGCUGGCGGCAUGCCUUACACAUGCAAGUCGAACGGUAACAGGUCUUCGGAUGCUGACGAGUGGCGAACGGGUGAGUAAUACAUCGGAACGUGCCCAGACGUGGGGGAUAACGAGGCGAAAGCUUUGCUAAUACCGCAUACGAUCUAAGGAUGAAAGCAGGGGACCGCAAGGCCUUGCGCGUUUGGAGCGGCCGAUGGCAGAUUAGGUAGUUGGUGGGAUAAAAGCUUACCAAGCCGACGAUCUGUAGCUGGUCUGAGAGGACGACCAGCCACACUGGGACUGAGACACGGCCCAGACUCCUACGGGAGGCAGCAGUGGGGAAUUUUGGACAAUGGGCGAAAGCCUGAUCCAGCAAUGCCGCGUGCAGGAUGAAGGCCUUCGGGUUGUAAACUGCUUUUGUACGGAACGAAAAGGCUCUGGCUAAUACCUGGGGCACAUGACGGUACCGUAAGAAUAAGCACCGGCUAACUCCGUGCCAGCCGCCGCGGUAAUAC